rnacentral:pre_miRNA from 3 species
UCUUAUGGAUGGGCAAAAAAAGUAGUUUCUUGAGAUAGAAACUACUUCUAAUGAAGAUGCUGUAGC